GUCUAUCUAUAUUAAUACUCAGUUGGUUAGAGUGUGGUGCUGAUAACACCAAGGUUGCAGGUUCAAUCCCCAUUUGGGACA
rnacentral:tRNA from 1 species